GACGAACGCUGGCGGCGUGCUUAACACAUGCAAGUCGAACGGAAAGGCCCUGCUUUUGUGGGGUGCUCGAGUGGCGAACGGGUGAGUAACACGUGAGUAACCUGCCCUUGACUUUGGGAUAACUUCAGGAAACUGGGGCUAAUACCGGAUAGGAGCUCCUGCUGCAUGGUGGGGGUUGGAAAGUUUCGGCGGUUGGGGAUGGACUCGCGGCUUAUCAGCUUGUUGGUGGGGUAGUGGCUUACCAAGGCUUUGACGGGUAGCCGGCCUGAGAGGGUGACCGGCCACCUUGGGCCUGCGAUACGGCCCAGACUCCUACGGGAGGCAGCAGUGGGGAAUAUUGCACAAUGGGCGGAAGCCUGAUGCAGCAACGCCGCGUGCGGGAUGACGGCCUUCGGGUUGUAAACCGCUUUCGCCUGUGACGAAGCGUGAGUGACGGUAAUGGGUAAAGAAGCACCGGCUAACUACGUG
rnacentral:rRNA from 1 species